CGGGCGAAGGUUUCAUGAU
rnacentral:miRNA from 1 species